rnacentral:rRNA from 1 species
UACGGGGGGAGCAAGCGUUGUUCGGAUUUACUGGGCGUAAAGGGCGCGUAGGCGGCCAGCACAAGUCAGUUGUGAAAUCUCCGAGCUUAACUCGGAAAGGUCAACUGAUACUGUGCGGCUAGAGUGCGGAAGGGGCAACUGGAAUUCUUGGUGUAGCGGUGAAAUGCGUAGAUAUCAAGAGGAACACCUGCGGCGAAGGCGGGUUGCUGGGCCGGUACUGACGCUGAGGAGCGAAAGCGUGGGGAGCAAACAGG